rnacentral:rRNA from 1 species
AGCAGCCGCGGUAAUUCCAGCUCCAAUAGCGUAUAUUGAAGUUGUUGCAGUUAAAAAGCUCGUAGUUGAAUUUUGGGUCUGGCCGGGCGGUCCGCCCUCUGGGUGAGCACUGUUCCGACGUCGGGCCUAUCCUUCUGGUGAGUCGGCAUGUCCUUUAUUGGGUGUGUCGGGGGAACCAGGACCAUUACCUUGAAAAAAAUUAGAGUGUUCAAAGCAGGCGUAUGCUCGGAUACAUUAGCAUGGAAUAAUGAAAUAGGACGCGUGGUGCUAUUUUGUUGGUUUCUAGAACCGCCGUAAUGAUUAAUAGGGAUAGUUGGGGGCAUUAGUAUUCAAUUGUCAGAGGUGAAAUUCUUGGAUUUAUUGAAGACUAACUUCUGCGAAAGCAUUUGCCAAGGAUGUUUUCAUUAAUCAAGAACGAAAGUUAGGGGAUCGAAGACGAUCAGAUACCGUCGUAGUCUUAACCAUAAACUAUGCCGACUAGGAAUCGGGCGAUGUUAUUCUCAUGACUCGCCCGGCGUCU